GUGGGGAAUAUUGCACAAUGGGGGAAACCCUGAUGCAGCAACGCCGCGUGGAGGAUGACGCAUUUCGGUGUGUAAACUCCUUUUAUAAGGGAAGAUAAUGACGGUACCUUAUGAAUAAGCACCGGCUAACUCCGUGCCAGCAGCCGCGGUAAUACGGAGGGUGCAAGCGUUACUCGGAAUCACUGGGCGUAAAGGAUGCGUAGGCUGUAAUAUAAGUCAGAAGUGAAAUCCAACGGCUUAACCGUUGAACUGCUUUUGAAACUGUUUUACUAGAAUAUGGGAGAGGUAGAUGGAAUUGGUGGUGUAGGGGUAAAAUCCGUAGAUAUCACCAGGAAUACCGAUUGCGAAGGCGAUCUACUGGAACAUUAUUGACGCUGAGGCAUGAAAGCGUGGGGAGCAAACAGGGUUAGAUACCCGAGUAGUCC
rnacentral:rRNA from 1 species